AGUGUUGGUUUAGUCAAUGCGAAAGUCCUCCUCCGUUCCUCGACGAAACCAGACACUACCAAGCUCAAAAAGGCGAAGAAAAUCCCGGUUCCUAUCCUUUGCAAGAGCGUGAUCCCGGUGUCUAUACCGGUGAUUCUUCUCAAGGUAGGCACGAGGACGCGGUCGUAGAUUAUGAUGAAAACAGUCAUUCCUGUCAUCAAGAAGACCACAUAGGUGGCUGCAGGGAUCACAAACCCUCCAGAGCCUAAGCGACGAUCGCUCUGGAGGGCUUGAAAGACAGGAUAGGUCAUCUGUUGCGUGAUGGUCAAGUAAUAGAUCGAUGAAGCAAACCAUAUAGGAAGCACUCUCACAAUGCACUUCACUUCUUCAACUUGUUGCAUUGUACAUAGCUUCCAUGGAUCCGUAGGCUUACCAUCAGCAUCCAACUUGUCUUCAGGAGCCAAGAUCGCCGCCUUAUCAAGAAACCUACCAAAAACAGAAAGCUUGCUUUCUAAGUAAACAAAAGUGGAAAGAUAUUAUUUAUAACCGUGUGUCUUUACCUGAACUGGUCGGUGUACUUGAGCUUAGAGUUUGCGUAGUUUAGUGGGUAGUAAUUGUAAAGGUUAACCCAAGGCUGCUUCACAGCCUUUAACCCACGUUUCUUGAUAGCAACCGUUAUAACUUGAGCUAUACUAGCCAAUGGACUACCUGAGGCUUUGAUCUUGACAUACAACUUAUCACCCGCAAAGAAGAUCAGGUCUAAAAGCUUCCAGAAGAUGAGAAACCACAUGAUCAUUAGACUUUGUUCUUGUCUUGUUGUUUGAUCACAUCUCCAUUUGUUUCAUAAGCUGUCACUUCAUCAUCACUUCCUUUGUACCUAUACCAUCUUGACAUCACCAAGAAGUAAGCAAAAUUAACCGCCAAGAUUCCAGCGAUCAUGAAGUAAAACAAAUCCAAUCUUCCUUUGUUCAAAUCUUCAGCCAACCAGUUACCGCCAGCCGAGUUCUGCGUCGUCCUGUGUACCGUUGCAAUCAAGAAGCUGCCGAGGUAACUAGAAACUCCUCCUCCCACAUAGAAGAUGGAGCCGGCGAAACUCCUCAUGUUCUCGGGGAACUGCUUGUAGUAAAACUCCAUCUGUCCAAUAGCUCCAAAUGCCUCGGCUACACCCGCGAGUGUGAGCUGCGGUAUCAGCCACAUAGCUGACAUUGAGGAGAUUUCUCCCUUCCGUGGCGCCAUACCGAGUGUUGGUUUAGUCAAUGCGAAAGUCCUCCUCCGUUCCUCGACGAAACCAGACACUACCAAGCUCAAAAAGGCGAAGAAAAUCCCGGUUCCUAUCCUUUGCAAGAGCGUGAUCCCGGUGUCUAUACCGGUGAUUCUUCUCAAGGUAGGCACGAGGACGCGGUCGUAGAUUAUGAUGAAAACAGUCAUUCCUGUCAUCAAGAAGACCACAUAGGUGGCUGCAGGGAUCACAAACCCUCCAGAGCCUAAGCGACGAUCGCUCUGGAGGGCUUGAAAGACAGGAUAGGUCAUCUGUUGCGUGAUGGUCAAGUAAUAGAUCGAUGAAGCAAACCAUAUAGGAAGCACUCUCACAAUGCACUUCACUUCUUCAACUUGUUGCAUUGUACAUAGCUUCCAUGGAUCCGUAGGCUUACCAUCAGCAUCCAACUUGUCUUCAGGAGCCAAGAUCGCCGCCUUAUCAAGAAACCUACCAAAAACAGAAAGCUUGCUUUCUAAGUAAACAAAAGUGGAAAGAUAUUAUUUAUAACCGUGUGUCUUUACCUGAACUGGUCGGUGUACUUGAGCUUAGAGUUUGCGUAGUUUAGUGGGUAGUAAUUGUAAAGGUUAACCCAAGGCUGCUUCACAGCCUUUAACCCACGUUUCUUGAUAGCAACCGUUAUAACUUGAGCUAUACUAGCCAAUGGACUACCUGAGGCUUUGAUCUUGACAUACAACUUAUCACCCGCAAAGAAGAUCACGCAGGCCAAGAACAUUAACACGACAGGUAUGGUUAAACCGAUGGUCCAACUGACGUUAGACUGGAUGUAGACAACUAGUGUCAGCGACAAGAUCUGCGCGAACGUGAAGGUGAAGAAGUACCAGUUAAAGAAACUAUCAAUCCCUCUCUUCCCUGACUCGCUUUUAGGGUUAAACUGAUCAGCUCCAAAAGCAAGAUUACACGGUCUAAUCCCACCUGCUCCCACCACAAGAAAGGCAAGACCCAUUAGUAGAAAGGCUAUCUGGCCACCACUUGGGCCUGUACACGUGAGGGCUGUUCCGCAUGGAGCUGGAUGCAGUUGUGGUACUGCAGCAGUUAAUAGUAUCACAAGUGAUCCCUACCAAAACAAGAAUCAGAUUUUUUUUUUUUAGGUUUAUAAACCAAGAUUGCUUGUGGAGGAAGAAAAGGUUAUAGAGGAUGGAUUAUUACAAGAAAACAUGCGAUGACCGCGACGGUUAGUGUCUUGUAACGACCGAAGUAAGUGUCGCAAAGGAAGGCGGCAACGAAGGUUCCGAAGUUGAUUGUGCCACUAAAGGCGUUGAUGAUUGUUGCGGCUGUGAUACUCUUCAUGUUGAAGACAGCAGUUAAGUAAACCAGAAGGUUUGAUAGUGUUCCAAUGAUCCCAAGCUUCUCAAAUGUCUCGUUUCCUGGUAAUAACAACAUGCAAGAAGAAAAGAUCAUAAGACUUUGACCUUAGCAACCAAACGAAGAAUCAAACAAGAGAUUCUUGAUCAUUUAUGUGUUCUGAAACAUCUUCAAACUCAAGAUCUCACUCUUUUGGGUUAAAUUACUGUUUGACUAAGUCAAAGCUUAAGACAACAACACAAAGAAUCUCACCAAUAAUAAAAUCAAACCAACAAAAUAUAGUUUCUAGAAACAGAGAAGAAAAUUGUCAAAAUUUAAUUACAGGAAAUUUCUAGAAAUAUAGUUUCUAAAACUUUGGAAAUAUACCAAUCAAAGAAAAUGAUAUAUAUUUUUUUUAUCAAAAAUUUAUAUUUUUUAUAUGUUUAAAACAUAUGCGUUACCUAUGAUGAAAGGCAUGACUUUCCAGCCUCUAUAAACGAGUUUGGUUUCCUGAACUUCUUCUUCAACAGAAUCAACCGCCGUAGCAGAGCCGUCGUACACGGCGGAGGAAGGUUUCUGAUGAUCGGUGGACUCAACUUCCAGAGGCUUUCUCUCCAUUUUGCUACUACUGAAGCAGUUUAAAGUUGUAUUUUCUUUAUUUUGUAUUGUUGUCUCAAAAGGCUAAUAAUGAUGACUCUGUUUUUUCUUCAUCUUGGAGUUGUCUCUAUAUAUAGUGGUAAAGAGGAUGGUGGAUGUGUCGGAAUAUAGACAAAUUGGUAAUUUGUGAAUAUGGCCGUGAAAGAGAACUGUGUUAGUGAUUAUAAUAUUGGUUUUAAAUUAGUCAAUUAAAGUAUUUUUGUUUACAGAAUUAAGCUUAAAAAAAAAGAAGGUGAAAAUGUAGAUUCCAUUACAAGUGUUGUGGCCCCAUCAUAAUCACUCACUCUUUAAUAACGGCACGUUCUUUUAAGCUCUCAAUUUGUUUUCCAUCAUCCAUUUUCGUAUUUCUUUUUUUCUUUUUUUUUUCAUUUUCGUAUUUCAUUUAUCUCUUCUUCUUCUAUUUUUAUGCUUUUUAUUUGUCUUCAUUUAAUUUUAACAAAUAUAUCAUUAAUAUAAGAAAUAUCUCAAGAACAUGCUCCAUCUUAUGAAAAUUGGCUGUUUUAGUUUCCUUUUUAUUUCAUAUAAUAUAAUGUUAUAUAUAUUUCAGUUAGUCCUUGAAAAAAUGCUGAAGUAAAUGAAACUAAAUUCAAAUUAUAAGGAGUAAAUACUAACAAAUAAGGUUGAAAACAAUUCUUAGAUAUUUUUUGUAUAUAUGAAAACUUAAAUCAUGAAACAACAAUACUUUCAGAAUCAUUUAGUUAAGCAAUGUAAAUUUUUAACAUCGUUUGCAGCUAACGCAAAUAUAUGAAAUAAAUGAUGGUAAACAACAAAUUUUUUUGUAGUGAGCUAACCUGAAACACACAUACAAAUCUGUACUUAAUUUCUAUUCAAUAGCGAAUCUUCCACUAUCUGAUCGGUCCACCAUGAUUGGUUUAGUCAAAUUAGUUGGUAAGAGAUUAUGAUCUUCUAAAAUUUGUAUCUGCUAAAAUUUAAUGUUGGUGGAUUGCGGGAGACAAAGUCAGACAAAAUUUCUUUUAAAAUCCACUAAUUUUUUUUAGCCCGAUUUAUUGGUUCUUAUUUUAAUUUUAAUUUUUUCUCAAAUCAUUUAUUGGUUCUGUUCAUUUGAAAAAGUCAAAUUUUGUGUAAUUAAUAACCCAUUUGAGCUUGGUUUUAUUUGAGUUGAGUUACUUCCUGUUUUUUUUUUCCACUAAAAGGCAAUGAAAAUUUUAAUUGUUUUUUCUCUAUUUUUGAAUACAUUCAUAAAAAGGCCAGUUCUCUACAUUUUUCAGGAAAUUGAUGAAAAUUAAAUUAGUAUCCUGGGAGAUGUUAGUAAAAGUAGACCAGAAUGAAAAAGAGAAAAACUGAGAUGUUAGUAAAAUUAAUUAGACAUGACACCAAUAAGGAUGGUCUCAAUUUCCUCAACUUUAGCUUCCACAAUUCAACUUUAAUUUCUUCCAUUUUACCAAUUUGGUUCACAACUAAAAUCCUCAAGCAAGAAAUGCAGUUAACAAAAAAAAUUUAAAAAAAACUUCUGACUAAGUUCAAGUAUU
rnacentral:lncRNA from 1 species